GCCAGGUGUGGUGGCGCACACCUGUUGUCCCAGCUACUCGGGAGGCUGAGACAGGAGAAUUGCUUGAACCUGGGAAGUUGAGGCUGCAGUGAGCUGUGAUCAUGCCACUGUACUCCAGCCUGGGUGACAGAGGGAGAACCUGUCUCAA
ensembl:misc_RNA Metazoa_SRP Metazoan signal recognition particle RNA